CUGCAGGGCAGCUGCCCGCUCUGUCCCCACUUGCUCUGUGCCGUGCUCACGGCCCCACCAGCACCUGCUGCAGCUCUUGCAGGAAAGCAGCCCCAGGGCCAGCACUGCUGCCCCUGCUCUGGCGGGAGAGCACCCGCUGGCAGCUGAAGGCACCCACAGCCCUGCCAGCCCCGCUCACACCUGCUCUCACCCACUCCCUCACUUCAGCUUUGCUCCAGCUCCUCCUUCCACCUCUUUUUGUUCCCCAUGCUGGACUCCGAUUGGCUGAGAGAGCCAUCAUUCAAAUCCACUCCAUGUUUCUCUUGCUGGCCAAUAGGAGUGCAGCACUGUGGGCGUUGCCAUGGAAACGUUACAGCCUCCUGCCCUGGCAGCCAGCUCCUCCCCCUCCCCUGCCCCUGCGGUCUGCGCCAUCUUGUGGGCGGCAUCGCAGGGCAUCGCGAGGCGUCGUGGGGCCUCAGGGCAGCAUGGCCCCGUGUGCCCGGGCACUGCGGGGGCCCGGGGCACGGCUGCUCCCGCGCCGGGUUUGGGCUCUGCCGCAGGGGUCCUGCGGGGCUCCUGACUGCCCUGUGCCCGGGGGCCAUGGGGGACACAGGGGAGCAGCCCUGGGGCCUGUGCUGGUGCCGGACCUGGCGGCGGCGCGGGGUCCUGGGCAUGGCCAUGAGCGCUGGAGCCCACGGGCAGCAUCCUGCUGCCCCCAGGGCAGGGCAGGGCAGGGCAGGGCAGGGCAGGGCAGGGCAGGGCUCUGUUGCUCCUGGGGCCCCGGUCCCCUGCCUGCGGCAGCCCUGGGGCUCGGCAGCUCUCGCGCUGCGCCCAGCAGGGUUGGGCCGCGGCCAGGCAGGGGCUGCUUUCUGUGGGGCUGGGCUGGGCCCCGGCGCGUUGCUGUGGAGGGCUGAGGAGCCCCAGGGGCACGGGGCAGCCAGGGGCAGAGCAGCUCUGGGCCUGCUGGUGCUGGGCGGCGGAGGUGUGUGUCCGGGAGGGGUCUGGGGGAGAUGGAGCUGCUGGACUGCCCCCAGCACUGCCCCCCACAGCUCAGAGAAAAAUGCUUGGGGUCAGCAGGGACUUGUGGGGUGGCCAUGGCACCCCCACCUGUUUCCAAGCUGCUCUCCCAAACAGGCUGUCUUUUGAGUGCAGAGGUCUGACCCCCUUUUGCAGGAGGACAGGGGCUGAGGCCAUCUGAGGACAAGAUCUCUGAGCACAAACCAUGUUCCAGAGGG
rnacentral:lncRNA from 1 species